GGAGAGAAAGCUAAAUGGUAGAUGAAGUGUGAGUAUGGGGGGAGGGGAAGGCGACACACAAUAAGAGGGAGAUCGGCACAAAAUGAUGGAAGCAGGGCAGAACCUUGGUGGGUUUACAAGCCUUAAAGGCCAGAGUGGAACACACUGCUAUCUACACGAUCCUGCAAUCGCGACAGAGCAUUGUCAGAUCCACGUUACGAACAGCAACUGAACCUGUGGGCUAUAUUGCCAGAUCAGCCUCUCCUCAGGUCAGAGGCAUUCAGUCCAGGAUGGAGGAAGAGCUGCCUUUUCAAAGUAGAAUCAACAUCACGACAAGGUCUAGGAAAGUCUUCGGAACCUCUAUUUGCUGACGGAACACAAGUCAAGGCAAGAACUUGAAGCGGUUGUUGACGGAAGAUCAAAGAUUGCAACCUUCAGUAUGGAUCGCAGCACAAUUAUUUAGAAGUGCCAACUUUGAGAGUACCCAGUGACCUCCUCUCCACCUGAGCCUGUCUGUGUAAGUGCAUCCAUCUUAAUGAGUCAGGGUUAGGAAAUCACGCCUAGUACUUGGAGUUGCGGAGAAAACAUUGCAGUUGCUGACUAGUCCACCACUAGCAAGGAAAGCGAAGGGAGAAGAGAAGCAAAUUGAGGAGUCGCCCACGGUGGCAGAUUUGAAAAGAAAUGCCGUUCUCAAAGUAUGCACUGCGUGAUCUACAGGUCUUUAAAAAUUUUCAAAUCACCAGGAUACAUUAACUGCUUUCUUAAACCUGCUAAGCAGAAUUAAAACUCAGAAAUGUGAAGGACAGUAUGAUUGACAGCAAGGUUUCCCUGGAGGGUAGUAGGAGACCUGCAUGCUAAAGAUGAGGACUUCCCAAUAUACCUUUCGUUCAUCAGCUUUCUGAAAAUUGAAGUAUUAAAGUUUUUUAAAAGAC